GCCAUGCGUGGUGGCGUGUGCCUGUAAUCCCAGCUACUCGGGAGGCUGAAGUGGGAGGAUCGCUUGAGACCAGGAGUUCUGGGCUGUAGUGCGCUAUGCCGAUUGGGUGUCUGCACUAAGUUCAGCAUCAAUAUGGUGACCUCCAGGAGCGGGGGACCACCAGGUUGCCUAAGGAGGGGUGAACUGGCCCAGAUCAGAAAUGGAGCAGGUCAAAACUCCUGUGCUGAUCAGAAGUGGGAUUGUGCCUGUGAAUAGCCACUGCACUCAGCCUGGGCAACAUAGCGAGACCCUGUCUCAA
rnacentral:SRP_RNA from 1 species